UCUUCAAAAGAGAAUGGAACAGAAACUGGCCUUUCCUGGUCGGCUUCGCCAUAACCGGAGCCAUCAUCACCAAGUUCUCUCUUGGUCUUACUGAGGAGGAUGCGAAGAAGUCCCCCUUCGUGCAGAGGCAUAAGCGGUGAUUAAGUGUGUGUGAAGGACAGAGAUCAUCAGUAUUCACUUUCUAUCUAAGUUUGUUUUCAUUUCAUAUUAUUCAAUAAUAAUGGGAUGGUUCGAACAUUUGAUUGAAUCCUUUUUCUCAGACAUUCUUUCCCCCAGUUGGGUGCUAUAGUUUCUUUACUAGCUUGUGGAUUUUACUUGUUAUGUUAAAUUGUUGGAUCUGUUUAACGGCAUUUUUGGGAGAUUUUAACCCCAGUUUGACUCAAUUUGAUCCUGUCUUUAAAUAUUGAGUUGUUUGUGUAUUA